rnacentral:rRNA from 1 species
UACAGAGGUCUCAAGCGUUGUUCGGAUUCAUUGGGCGUAAAGGGUGCGUAGGUGGUGGGGUAAGUCGGAUGUGAAAUCCCGGGGCUCAACCCUGGAACUGCAUUCGAUACUGCCUUACUUGAGUACUGGAGAGGAGAUUGGAAUUUACGGUGUAGCAGUGAAAUGCGUAGAUAUCGUAAGGAAGACCAGUGGCGAAGGCGGAUCUCUGGACAGUUACUGACACUGAGGCACGAAGGCCAGGGGAGCAAACGGG